UACGUAGGGUGCAAGCGUUAAUCGGAAUUACUGGGCGUAAAGCGUGCGCAGGCGGUGAUGUAAGACAGGUGUGAAAUCCCCGGGCUUAACCUGGGAACUGCAUUUGUGACUGCAUCGCUGGAGUGCGGCAGAGGGGGAUGGAAUUCCGCGUGUAGCAGUGAAAUGCGUAGAUAUGCGGAGGAACACCGAUGGCGAAGGCAAUCCCCUGGGCCUGCACUGACGCUAAUGCACGAAAGCGUGGGGAGCAAACAGG
rnacentral:rRNA from 1 species